UAAAAUGCGAUGAAGGAAAAGAGUACCUGCAAUCUUCAUAGAAAGCGACCUUAGGAUGGUGCGAGCUAAGGUAUGAGGAUGCAGGGAACGGCGUUCCAGAGCAAUAACGGUUUACGAGAGGCUGAAACGUUUUUCAGCAAAUAGGGUGGAACCGCGGGUCAUCCCGUCCCUAUG
rnacentral:ncRNA from 1 species